GAUGAACGCUGGCGGCGUGCCUAAUACAUGCAAGUCGAGCGAACGGACGAGAAGCUUGCUUCUCUGAUGUUAGCGGCGGACGGGUGAGUAACACGUGGAUAACCUACCUAUAAGACUGGGAUAACUUCGGGAAACCGGAGCUAAUACCGGAUAAUAUUUUGAACCGCAUGGUUCAAAAGUGAAAGACGGUCUUGCUGUCACUUAUAGAUGGAUCCGCGCUGCAUUAGCUAGUUGGUAAGGUAACGGCUUACCAAGGCAACGAUGCAUAGCCGACCUGAGAGGGUGAUCAGCCACACUGGAACUGAGACACGGUCCAGACUCCUACGGGAGGCAGCAGUAGGGAAUCUUCCGCAAUGGGCGAAAGCCUGACGGAGCAACGCCGCGUGAGUGAUGAAGGUCUUCGGAUCGUAAAACUCUGUUAUUAGGGAAGAACAUAUGUGUAAGUAAAUGUGCACAUCUUGACGUUACCUAAUCAGAAAGCCACGGCUAACUACGUG
rnacentral:rRNA from 1 species